UACGGGGGGGGCAAGCGUUGUUCGGAAUUACUGGGCGUAAAGGGCGCGUAGGCGGCCUUCUAAGUCGAACGUGAAAUCCCCGGGCUCAACCCGGGAACUGCGUCCGAUACUGGAAGGCUUGAAUCCGGGAGAGGGAUGUGGAAUUCCAGGUGUAGCGGUGAAAUGUGUAGAUAUCUGGAGGAACACCGGUGGCGAAGGCGACAUCCUGGACCGGUAUUGACGCUGAGGCGCGAAAGCCAGGGGAGCAAACGGG
rnacentral:rRNA from 1 species